rnacentral:rRNA from 1 species
UACGGGGGGGGCAAGCGUUGUUCGGAAUUACUGGGCGUAAAGGGCUCGUAGGCGCCAACUAAGUCAGACGUGAAAUCCCUCGGCUUAACCGGGGAACUGCAUCUGAUACUGGAUGGCUUGAGUUUGGGAGAGGGAUGCGGAAUUCCAGGUGUAGCGGUGAAAUGCGUAGAUAUCUGGAGGAACACCGGUGGCGAAGGCGGCGAUCCUGGACCAACACUGACGCUGAGGAGCGAAAGCCAGGGGAGCAAACGGG